GACCCAGUGGCCCAGUGGUAACUCUUCCGCCUGCUGUGUAGGUGACCCGGGAUCGAAUCCCGUCGUCGGCG